AUUGAACGCUGGCGGCAUGCCUUACACAUGCAAGUCGAACGGUAACAGGUUAAGCUGACGAGUGGCGAACGGGUGAGUAAUGUAUCGGAACGUGCCCAGUCGUGGGGGAUAACUACUCGAAAGAGUGGCUAAUACCGCAUACGACCUGAGGGUGAAAGCGGGGGACCGUAAGGCCUCGCGCGAUUGGAGCGGCCGAUAUCAGAUUAGCUAGUUGGUGGGGUAAAAGCCCACCAAGGCGACGAUCUGUAGCUGGUUUGAGAGGACGACCAGCCACACUGGGACUGAGACACGGCCCAGACUCCUACGGGAGGCAGCAGUGGGGAAUUUUGGACAAUGGACGCAAGUCUGAUCCAGCCAUGCCGCGUGCGGGAAGAAGGCCUUCGGGUUGUAAACCGCUUUUGUCAGGGAAGAAACGAGUUUCUCUAAUACUGGGGGCUAAUGACGGUACCGUAAGAAUAAGCACCGGCUAACUACGUGCCAGCCGCCGCCGUAAUAC
rnacentral:rRNA from 1 species